rnacentral:tRNA from 62 species
GAGCGCGUAGCUCAGCUGGUAGAGCAACUGACUUUUAAUCAGUAGGUCCAGGGUUCGAAUCCCUGCGCGCUCACCA